GCUCGUGCGCGCCACUCCGCCAUUUUCUCUCACGCUUUGGAAGGUGGAAGCAGAGCCCGUGGAAGCUGACUGCAAGUUGUCGUGGUGGAAAGCUACAGUCGAAGAUAUCAGAUUCAUGUACCAGUGCACAUGCAAUGUGACUAGUGAGUUGUCUCUAGUAGUGUGAAUGUGGCAGUGUAAAGGGUUCCUGGUAGCAGUUCCAAGUAGAUUGGCAUUACUAAGUCAUUAUAAACUGAGACAUCCACACUUUGGGCGUACAAGCCGUUAUCCAUGAUGAUGAUGUCGAUAUUAGCCAAGAGUGUAAUCAUCA